GAUUGAACGCUGGCGGCAGGCCUAACACAUGCAAGUCGAGCGGAUGAAGGGAGCUUGCUCCUGGAUUCAGCGGCGGACGGGUGAGUAAUGCCUAGGAAUCUGCCUGGUAGUGGGGGAUAACGUCCGGAAACGGGCGCUAAUACCGCAUACGUCCUGAGGAAGAAAGUGGGGGAUCUUCGGACCUCACGCUAUCAGAUGAGCCUAGGUCGGAUUAGCUAGUUGGUGGGGUAAAGGCCUACCAAGGCGACGAUCCGUAACUGGUCUGAGAGGAUGAUCAGUCACACUGGAACUGAGACACGGUCCAGACUCCUACGGGAGGCAGCAGUGGGGAAUAUUGGACAAUGGGCGAAAGCCUGAUCCAGCCAUGCCGCGUGUGUGAAGAAGGUCUUCGGAUUGUAAAGCACUUUAAGUUGGGAGGAAGGGCAGUAAGUUAAUACCUUGCUGUUUUGACGUUACCAACAGAAUAAGCACCGGCUAACUUCGUG
rnacentral:rRNA from 1 species